GUUGGGGAAGUUUUCUUUUUUUUUUUUUUGAGAUGGAGUUUCGCUGUUGUUACCCAGACUGGAGUGCAAUGGCACGAUCUCGGUUCACCGCAACCUCCACCUCCUGGGUUCAGGCAAUUCUCCUGCCUCAGCCUCCCGAGUAGCUGGGAUUACAGGUACGCGCCACCAUGCCCAGCUAAUUUUUUGUAUUUUUAGUAGAGACGGGGUUUCACCAUGUUGACCAGGAUGGUCUCGAUCUCUUGACCUCGUGAUCCACCCGCCUCGGCCUCCCAAAGUGCUGGAAUUACAGGCGUGAGCCACCGCGCCCAGGAUGGUGUUCUUACAAGGACAAAAGGAGUUAAUACAGGAUAUGGCUGUGGGAAACAGAAGUGGCGUGACAGAAGGGAACAGCAGAGUUCUCUGCAGCAUGACCCAGAAAGCCUCUCCCUGCUCAACUGUUGUCCAGCACCCGGUCCUCCCCUGGGGAGGGCUCUGCAGCUGUGAGCACCCUCUAAGGACUGACACUUGGUAGGUCGACUGUUCAGCGGUCCCUCUGCUCUGCUAACGAGCAGAGCCUGUGAAACGGCUGCUCAAGGUAAGCAGGGAUGAUGCUGCCAUUUUUGUCUCCAUUAAAACAUCUACCUCUGUCGUUUUCAGCUCCCCUUCCCGUGCCCCUCCCUCCAGGUGGAUAACCCCAGUCUUCAGGACCCUGAGCUAGCUAAGUCACUCAAGCUUGUUCUUUGAUGGAAAGGGGAAGGGUCUGACCUUGGCUAUUUAUGUUUAUUGCUUAAUUACUUCAUUAGAAUUUAGAUUAGAUUCAAUUAGAUUAAACACAAAUGUUCAGAAAAAGCAUUUCAAUUUGUGGCUUUUUUUCUCUCACUGUGGAAUGAUGGAUUUUGUCAUCACUGGUGAAAAGAGUUUGAGGUAUUUAUAAGAAAGAGAAAAAGUGUCCUGGGAAAUGAGAGUUUCUGGCUUCUUGCUCAAGCAGAAUGAAAAAUAAACUUUAAAAGAUGACAGGGAGAAAAUUCUGA
rnacentral:lncRNA from 13 species